rnacentral:rRNA from 1 species
CCUACGGGAGGCAGCAGUGAGGAAUAUUGGUCAAUGGACGCAAGUCUGAACCAGCCAUGCCGCGUGCAGGAAGACGGCCCUAUGAGUUGUAAACUGCUUUUGUACGAGGGUAAACUCAGAUACGCGUACCUUUCUGAAAGUACCUUACGAAUAAGGAUCGGCUAACUCCGUGCCAGCAGCCGCGGUAAUACGGAGGAUUCAAGCGUUAUCCGGAUUUAUUGGGUUUAAAGGGAGCGUAGGCGGUCGGAUAAGUUAGUGGUGAAAUCCCGAGGCUCAACUUCGGAAUUGCAUCUGAUACUGUUAGGCUAGAGAGUAGUUGCGGUAGGCGGAAUGUAUGGUGUAGCGGUGAAAUGCUUAGAGAUCAUACAGAACACCGAUUGCGAAGGCAGCUUACCAAGCUGCUUCUGACAUUGAGGCACGAAAGCGUGGGGAGCAAACAGGAUUAGAUACCCUUGUAGUC